rnacentral:tRNA from 1 species
GGCAAAAUUAGAGCGUUGGCCUCCGGAGCCAAAGGUCGUGAGUUCGAAUCUCGCCGGGCGCACCA